GAAGACAUGAAGUUAGGUCAGCAAACCCGCUGAAUUUAAGCAUAUAAGUAAGCGGAGGAAAAGAAACUAAAUAGGAUUCCCUCAGUAAUGGCGAAUGAACAGGGAUGAGCUCAGUAUGGAAAUUGGGGCCUGUGGCCUUGAAUUGUAGUCUGGAGAUGUACCACCAACUGGGGCGCAGAUGUAAGCCUCUUGGAAAAGAGCAUCAAUGAGGGUGAGAGUCCCGCUUGGCAUCUGCAGUCCCCAGUGCACGGUGUACCUUCUAAGAGUCACGUUCCUCGGGAUUGGAGCGCAAAUCGGGUGGUAAGUUUCAUCUAAAGCUAAAUAUAGUUUCGAGACCGAUAGCAAACAAGUACCAUGAGGGAAAGGUGAAAAGGACUUUGAAAAGAGAGUUAAAAGUGCCUGAAAUUGCUGAAAGGGAAGCGAAUGGAACCAGCGUAACUUGGCGAGAUUGCUGCGUGUCAAUGUGAUUGCUUGCUGCUUCAACGUAAGUGUUGUAGUAAGUCUUGAACAGGACAUGCGCGGUGCUUCUUGCCUUGUGUGUCACCGUCAGUUCGCAACUGGGGAAAACUUCAGGGACAUGGUAGCCUGUCUCCGGGUGGGUGAACGUGUUUGCUGGAACUCAUUUGCGGAUUGCUUGGUGACUAAAUGGUUCCAUCUGACCCGUCUUGAAACAC
rnacentral:rRNA from 1 species